GGGGAUGCUCGGCUUCGAUGAUUCGUCCUUUUAUAAUGAGCGAAAACGAGCAAGGCUACAUUAUCUCGUAAAACCAUUGUAGCAAACAUAAAUGCAAAAAACAUUUUAGCAAAAGCCAAGGCGGCUUUCAGUCUGCCUGCUUUUGCGCCAGUUGUUGCCUAAUCCCGAGUUCUCGGGACGCACGACCAUCCGACCUUAUGACGCCUGCUGGUGAGUGUUCGGGUGUUAUCUUAGCAGGUUAGGCAAAAUGGCGCUGUUCUCAGCCACUUGCCGAAACCAUUGAGAACUCACCGGUGAUAUUUUUGUCUUGUUUUCUAUAUUGCCGGCAAGAUUAAACCAGACUAUUUUUCGUACACUUAUUAUAAAAAACGUGUCAGACAGGGGUUCGAUUCCCCUCAUCUCCACAG
rnacentral:tmRNA from 1 species